UACGAAGGGGGGCUAGCGUUGUUCGGAAUCACUGGGCGUAAAGCGCACGUAGGCGGACUUUUUAAGUCAGGGGGUGAAAAUCCCCGGGGGCUCAACCCCGGAACUGCCUUUGAUACUGGAAGUCUUGAGUCCGAGAGAGGUGAGUGGAACUCCGGAGUGUAGAGGUGAAAAUUCGUAGAUAUUCGGAAGAACACCAGUGGCGAAGGCGGCUCACUGGGCUCGGGUACUGACGCUGAGGGUGCGAAAAGCGUGGGGGAGCAAAACAGGAUUAGAUACCCGGGUAGUC
rnacentral:rRNA from 1 species